CAGUAGCCGCGGGAAUACAGAGGAUGCAAGCGUUAUCCGGAAUGAUUGGGCGUAAAGCGUCUGUAGGUGGCUUUUCAAGUCCGUCAUCAUAUCCCAAGGCUCAACCCUGGACAGGCGGUGGAAAAUACCAAGCUGGAGUACGGCAGGGGCAGAGGGAAUUUCCGGUGGAGCGGUGAAAUGCGUUGAGAUUGGAAAGAAUACCAACGGUGGAAGCACUCUGCUGGGCCGACACUGACACUGAGAGACGAAAGCUAGGGGAGCAAAUGGGAUUAGAUACCCCCGUAGUCCCUGUCUCUUAUAC
rnacentral:rRNA from 1 species